AGAGUUUGAUCAUGGCUCAGAUUGAACGCUGGCGGCAUGCCUCAUACAUGCAAGUCGGACGGUAACAUACACUUCGGUGUGAUGACGAGUGGCGGACGGGUGAGUAAUGCAUAAGAAUCUGCCUAUUAGUGUGGGACGACGUGUGGAAACGCACGCUAAUACCGCAUACAUCCUACGGGGAAGAGGUUGCCUCUUCAUGAACGCAAUCGCUAAUAGAUGAGCUUAUGUCAGAUUAGCUAGUUGGUAGGGUAAGAGCUUACCAAGGCGACGAUCUGUAGCCGGCCUGAGAGGGUGAACGGCCACACUGGGACUGAGACACGGCCCAGACUCCUACGGGAGGCAGCAGUAGGGAAUAUUGGACAAUGGGGGCAACCCUGAUCCAGCAAUGCCGCGUGUGUGAAGAAGGCCUGCGGGUUGUAAAGCACUUUCAGUAGGGAGGAAAUACUUAAAGUUAAUAGCUUUAAGAGUUGACGUUACCUACAGAAGAAGCACCGGCUAACUCUGUGCCAGCAGCCGCGGUAAUACAGAGGGUGCGAGCGUUAAUCGGAAUUACUGGGCGUAAAGGGUACGUAGGCGGCUCCUUAAGUCUGAUGUGAAAUCCCCGUGCUUAACAUGGGAAUUGCAUCGGAUACUGGGUAGCUAGAGUAUAGUAGAGGAGAGUGGAAUUUCUAGUGUAGCGGUGAAAUGCGUAGAUAUU
rnacentral:rRNA from 1 species